rnacentral:antisense_RNA from 1 species
GGGAGCUUAGAUGUGGAAGCUCUUUGGAAACCAAGAAACACUCUGCAAAUGAAAAGGGAAGCAGAAGUUCUCCUUAGCUGAUUUUUCUUCUUGCCUUAUACUGGGUUCUUUAACACCAGAACAAAAAUAAAUAAAUAAAAGAAUCUUCCAGAAAUUCAUGAAGAGACUUCAGGUCAGGAAAGCCUGAACUUUCUCAUCCAACACCUGUUCAAGUCGGAGGAUGCUGAUUAAUUCAUGAUGGAAAGGUAUCAAUUUCACAGCCCAGACCUCUACAUUCUUGAAAUGCUCUUCUCAUGGGAGACAUUAAAUAAGCUUUGAAUUAACUGAGACCUCUGUGGAUUCUAUAACUCAAAGACCCAGGCUGACGGCUGGUGGAAUAGCUACCAUCUCAAACAUGGCGUGAUGCUGCAUCAGAGAGAAAAAUAAGCUCUUGCAUUGACAAUGAAAUGUCUACCCUGUAGUGACUUGUGCUUACUUCCACUCACAAGUGAUUGCCCAGAGCUACUUACCUGGCUCCAAUCUACCACUGGGUCAGACGUUUGCUGAAUUCAGUUCUGAGCUUUUGAACCAAAAGCAGAUCUUCAGAACAAGAAACAAGAUAAUAAAAGAGAAACAUGAAGAAACUGAAGAUGAUUGGAGAAAUAUGAAUCAAGAUGAUUAGACCUAGCAGAGGGCUGGCUGGAUGGCAUUUAUGUUGACAGUGGACUCCUACACAGAGGAUGAUCAUGGUCUAGGACAUAA